rnacentral:rRNA from 1 species
AACGAACGCUGGCGGCAUGCCUAACACAUGCAAGUCGAACGAAGGCUUCGGCCUUAGUGGCGCACGGGUGCGCAACGCGUGGGAAUCUGCCCUUUGGUUCGGAAUAACAGCUGGAAACGGCUGCUAAUACCGGAUGAUGACGAAAGUCCAAAUAUUUAUCGCCAGAGGAUGAGCCCGCGUUGGAUUAGGUAGUUGGUGGGGUAAAGGCCUACCAAGCCGACGCUCCAUAGCCGGUCUGAGAGGAUGAUCAGCGACACUGGGACUGAGACACGGCCCAGACUCCUACGGGAUGCAGCAGUGGGGAAUAUUGGACAAUGGGCGCAAGCCUGAUCCAGCAAUGCCGCGUGAGUGAUGAAGUCCCGAGGGUUGUAAAGCUCUUUUACCCGGGAAGAUAAUGACGGUACCGGAAGAAUAAGCCCCGGCUAACUCCGUG